AGCCCAGGAUAGGGAACUUGCUAAUGAAGAUGGAAGGUUAAAAAAAAACCUACAAAACAACAAUACAUGUAUUCUGUCAGAUCACAGGCUGAGUUCACAGAAUACCAAUAACAUUUUUCAGAACUAUUUGGAGACUGCAGACAUUUACAAGUCCAUGGACCCUGACAGAAUGCACCCACAAGUGCCGUGCACAAGAUCCUCACAGUGAAGCUGUUUACGUGUGAAUUAGAAAAGCAAACAAUGAAGUGGUCAGUAGUGCAAAUUUCACUUGGUCUAAAAAGUUGAGUAACUCAGAGGUUAACAGCUGAAGGGAGAAUGGAGCCACACUAUCUUUAAUCAUGGCCAGUGCCAGGACGGGAGGCUAUGGACAUAAACUGGAACUCAAAAUGUUCCACCAGGAAGCAUUUUAUAAUAUGGGUGAUGGAACAUUGGAAAAGCUUAUCCAAUUUGUCUGGGACCUCCUUUACUGGAGAUCUUGUGGAUGUGGUCCUGGCAAAACUUAUUUAUGUGUCCUUGCUUGAGCAGAGAUCUCCAGAGGUUCCUUAACCACUCUUCUAUACUCUGAUUUGGUUAGAAUACUUUCUUAACAUGUCAACUAACAAGAGGAGACUAAAUACAUAAUAACAAAGUGAUUUUGAAAUAGAAACCUUUCAUUUUUCAAACUUCAGUACCUGGACUUGUCUGGAAUAGUACUGAAACCUGACACAGCUUUCAAAGAACUGGAGAACACUUACUGAUUAGAGUUAUUAAUCAUUCUGUUCAAAUCCAUAUUUAUACUUUUUUUUUUACUUAAUUGAUCUUUGUGUAUCUAUUUGCAUUUAUCUCAUCACUGUUAAGUUCAAACCAAUCUUGAACUUGAAAAUAGAGCUGAAACAAACUUUGUACUUCCCAGAAAUUUCUAGAGGAAUUAUGAAUGCUUGAGACCUGGACAAAUCUCUGCAUUGUAUGUGAUCCAGAAAUUAUAUAUUUUUAUCACAUGACAAGUAAAUGCAUAUGCAUAAGCAAUUUUCUUUAUUUAGAGUGUUCAGUGUUUGUAUUUAUACAUAAACAUUUCCUUAGAAAAAUAAUUGCUGUUUACUAAAUCCCUUCAUGACAGAA